rnacentral:rRNA from 1 species
UACAGAGGUGGUAAGCGUUGUUCGGAAUUACUGGGCGUAAAGGGCGCGUAGGCGGUCUUCUAAGUCUUGUGUGAAAUCCCUCGGCUCAACUGAGGAACUGCACGGGAUACUGGAAGACUUGAGUUCGGGAGAGGGAAGCGGAAUUCCGGGUGUAGCGGUGAAAUGCGUAGAUAUCCGGAGGAACACCGGUGGCGAAGGCGGCUUCCUGGACCGAUUACUGACGCUGAGGUGCGAAAGCUAGGGGAGCAAACGGG